CUGGACUACAGCUGUCACCAGAGUGAACAGGAACGUGUCACUGACUCUCUUCUGGUGGGAUCUGGCUUAGCUUGUGCAUCCUAUCAGGGAUGAAAGGCAACAAAACCUUUUUUCGUGCAUCUGGCCUGAAGGCAGUGUCAAUUUGCAUCAACUGACACUGUGGCAGACUGUGAGAUGCAAUGCCAGACUUUGUAUCAGAGAGAUCUUCAGUGGAGUUUAUGGAAACUUAUUCCAAGUUAUUUAUCUAGAAGGAGUGAAACACAAUGUCAUGCUGUUCCCAUUUUAACUAGCAAAACCAGCAUCCAGAAGAAUUUGGAUUACCUUUUUACCUUCUCAAAGACAUCUUCUGGUGUGUCACCGCACACAAUGAUGUAAUUGAUGUACUGCAGGUCUUCCGGAUCUGUUUUUCCACCCCUGGGGCAUUCGAUUCCAGGUGUGAUGGACUCCCCUCCAGGUGAAAGCAAACUGUGGCCUGCGCUCUGGUGCUAGAGGAAUAGAGAAAAAGGCAUGAGCAAUGUCAAUAGUGGCAUACCACCUGGCUGUUUUAGACCUUCAUACUGAAGUUCUAGCAUGUUUGGCCCAGCAGCACUGAGCAGUGGUGUUACCUCGUUCAGCCCACGAUAGUCCACUGUCAGCCUUCAGGUGUCUGCUCCUUCUAUUAGGUCUUUUAACAUUGCUUUUAAAAAGGUGUCCUCUACUGUUGAACAUGUUCUUGUGGUUUUGGAUGGCUGUUUCUUUGCUUUUCUCCUAGUCACAGGAUUUAACUUUUGCUCAUUUGGAUCAAGUGGGAGUGCCCUUAGUCUUUGCAGCAGCAGCAGUGAUGACAGCAACCUUGCCUGUGGGGAAGCAGAUUGUGAUCACUCUACACAUCCACAGUACAUUAUAAACAUUCAGGAAAAGCAUCCCUAGUGAAACAAUGCUAUUUAGAUCAAAAGCUGAGAGAUUCAGACUGAGGGAAGAUGGAGAGGUAAGACUGAACCUGCUACUGCCAUUACCAACCUAGACCUUUCUGUUCACAUAAGGAUUUGUACUGUACACAUACAGUGCCACCAUACAGAUCAGUAUCAAAACCCCUGUGAUCACUAGACAGGUUAUUACAUGCUUGAUUAUGGCUGUAGUCCUGUUGAUAAACCAUAAAACAAUAACAAGAGCAGCUACCCAGAGCAGUAUUAUCCCAGCUGCAUUCCCCAUAUACGAUUACAUGUUGGGAAAAAGGCCCAGCAGAAACAUUGCAGAAAGUGUCUGUCCAGUUUUCAACCCAUCAACGUACUCAGCAGAAGCGUUGCCCAUAGCCCUCUGUGGAAAUCCUCCCAGCAGAGGUGGAAUUUUAAACAUUCAACAGUUAGACAGAAUUUAUAGCCUGGCCUUAAAAUAUAUGCUAUGUGAAAAGUAUUGUUGUCUGUCAGGAUUAAUUAUUAAUCUUAACAGGUAAGAGCCUUAGUCUUUUCAGGACUGCUUUCAUGCUUCUAUACCCUGGGGUGUAUUAGAAAGGGUGUGGUUAGUAGGUCAAGAGAGGUUCUCCUCCCCCUCUAUUCUGCCUUGGUGAGGCCGCAUCUGGAAUAUUGUGUCCAGUUCUGGGUCUCUCAGUUCAAGAAGGACAGGGAACUGCUUGAAAGAGUCCAGCACAGAGCCACAAAGAUGAUGAAGGGAGUGGAACAUCUCCCUUAUGAGGACAGGCUGAGGGAGCUGGGCCUCUUUAGCUUGGAGGAGACCGAGGGGCGACCUCAUCAAUGUUUACAAGUAUGUUAAGGGCGACUAUCAGGAGGACAGAGCCAGGCUCUUCUCAGUGAUGUUCAGUGAUAGGACAAGGGGCAAC